ensembl:lncRNA
UUUCUCUGUUUUCUUAACCUCACAUCUCUUUGUCUCUCUGCCGUAUCACCCUCCCCCUCUCCUUCUCUCUUGCUGCGGAAAAAAAGGCUCUUUAAAGCUGAGUCUGUCUCUGUAAUCAUCUCUCCCUCUCGCUCUCUCUCGCGCUCUCCCUCUCCUCUCGCUCUCUCUGUCUCUCUCCCUCUCUCUCUCUCCCUCUCUCCCUCUCCCUCUCUCUCUCUCUCUCUCUCUCUCUCUCUCUCUCUCUCUCUCUCUCUCUCUCUCUCUCUCUCUCUCUCUCUCUCUCUCUCUCUCUUUUCUUCUUCGGACUUAAACACAUAGGACCAACAUCUGCAGUUCUCAGUGUCAGGGUGAAGAUCCAGGAGACAAGUCUCCACCAAUCAGGAGACAAAAGCACUGCCCCUGGGGCUUCUGAGGUGACCUCAUCCCCAACAUCUUCCAGGCGGUUUCGAACACGGCAGUGCCCUCCACCGCCGCCACUAACCUUGCAAGGAGUCAUGUGUUCCGGGCCCGGCGCCGCGGAACCAAUGGAGCUCGGGAUGACAUCACGGCAGGGACGGCACCACAUGGAUCCGGUGGCAAUCGCUCCAAGUUGGCGAGCAGCCUGGUACAUGUUGCUGCCAUGGCAAAGGCAAACAGGCGACACAAUAGGAUUUUGGUGCGGCCUAAGUUUGCUUGACACACACACACACACACGCGCACACACGCACACACACACACUCUGACU